GACGAACGCUGGCGGCGUGCUUAACACAUGCAAGUCGAACGGAAAGGCCCUGCUUGCAGGGUACUCGAGUGGCGAACGGGUGAGUAACUCGUGGGUGAACAGCCCUGCUAUUCGGGUUAAGCUUGGGCAACUGGGCCUAAUACCGGACAGGUGCCAUUUUUAGUGUGGUGGUUGGAAAGUUUUUUCGGUGUUGGGUGAGCUUGCGGCCUAUCAGCUUGUUGGGGGGGCAAUGGCCUACCAAGGCGGCGGCGGGUGGCCGGCCUGAGUGGGUGUACGGCCACAUUGGGACUGAGGUACGGCCCAGACACCUACGGGAGGCAGCAGUGGGGAAUAUUGCACAAUGGGCGCAAGCCUGAUGCAGCGAGGCCGCGUGGGGGAUGAAGGCCUUCGGGUUGUAAACUCCUUUCGCUAGGGACGAAGCAUUUUGUGACGGUACCUAGAUAAGAAGCACCGGCUAACUACGUG
rnacentral:rRNA from 1 species